rnacentral:rRNA from 1 species
AUGAACGCUGGCGGCGUGCCUAAUACAUGCAAGUCGAGCGAACAGACGGGGAGCUUGCUCCUCUGACGUUAGCGGCGGACGGGUGAGUAACACGUGGAUAACCUACCUAUAAGACUGGGAUAACUUCGGGAAACCGGAGCUAAUACCGGAUAAUAUAUUGAACCGCAUGGUUCAAUAGUGAAAGACGGUUUUGCUGUCACUUAUAGAUGGAUCCGCGCCGCAUUAGCUAGUUGGUAAGGUAACGGCUUACCAAGGCAACGAUGCGUAGCCGACCUGAGAGGGUGAUCGGCCACACUGGAACUGAGACACGGUCCAGACUCCUACGGGAGGCAGCAGUAGGGAAUCUUCCGCAAUGGGCGAAAGCCUGACGGAGCAACGCCGCGUGAGUGAUGAAGGUCUUCGGAUCGUAAAACUCUGUUAUCAGGGAAGAACAAAUGUGUAAGUAACUAUGCACGUCUUGACGGUACCUAAUCAGAAAGCCACGGCUAACUACGUG